CCUGGCUCAGGAUGAACGCUGGCGGCGUGCAUAACACAUCAAGUCGAACGGUGAAGUCCUUCGGGAACGGAUCAGUGGCGGACGGGUGAGUAACGCGUGAGCAACCUGCCGUAUAGUGGGGGAUAACACAGGGAAACUUGUGCUAAUACCGCAUGACACACGGGGAUCGCAUGGUUCCUGUGUCAAAGAUUUAUUGCUGUACGAUGGGCUCGCGUAUGAUUAGACAGUUGGCAGGGUAACGGCCUACCAAAUCAACGAUCAUUAGCCGAACUGAGAGGUUGAACGGCCACAUUGGAACUGAGAAACGGUCCAGACUCCUACGGGAGGCAGCAGUGGGGAAUAUUGGGCAAUGGGCGAAAGCCUGAACCCCAGCGACGCCGCGUGAGGGAAGAAGGUCUUCGGAUUGUAAACCUCUUUCAGCAGGGAAGAAGUCAGUGACGGUACCUGCAGAAGAAGUCACGGCUAACUACGUGCCAGCCGCGGC
rnacentral:rRNA from 1 species